CGGAUGUUCCUCGAAAGAGGCCUGUGGGAUGAUAAAAAGUCGACAUUUGAUCUUUGUCCCCAGGCACUGGCCCCUGGGGCGGGGGAGGCUCUUUGGCUUGCUGCUGAGACGCCUGGGGGCUGCUCCCAGAGAGACCAGUGGAGGAGCAAAGUGAUGGGGAUUGACGCCCAGCCUCCGGUGACGCGAUCAAUCGCGCUUCGAGAAUGCAGAAAAGCCCAUGGGUCGGGCUCCAGAGAAAACACACACAAAGAAGAGAAGUGAAUUUGGAUCUCACCAGGCAGCUUUCGGGCCCACGGGCAGCCUGCGCUGGAGCUUGGGCUCUGGGGAGGCCUCCCUUCACGGACCCAGGCUACCUGGUUCACCCCUCUGGCCACAGCGAGGGGCCAGGCCUCGGGGGUCCUGUCCAGCACCACCGGAACCAGUGGGGCUCCGGCUGCCUGGGCCAUGGCCAGUGGGAGCCUGUCCUGGGGGCGUCCUUCCUUGUUGUCCGGGACUCCGGUGUUGAGAUCCUCCGCCCAUCCCCUCUGUCCUGGUGCCUCUGGCAGACGCGGAUUUGAGAAAGUACACGCUUCCGUGGGUGCCUACGUCUACCACCGCUCCCACCAGAGCCGUGAGUUCGCUGAUGCCUCGGCUCCACCGCGUCCACAGGCUCGUUUGGGUUUUCCGUGUCGGAGCCUGUGGCUCCUGUCUCCACAGCGCAGAUCCCCCCUGGUGCUGCUCAGAGCCCUGCUGCCACAAUGCCGGUGUGACUGCCAGUCCGGGGGCGGGGGCGGGGGGACCUCGGGCCGACCCUCUGUGGCUUUAGGGUUGCUCCUUCUGGGAAGGGCAGAGCGGUCUGCCCUGGCCUCCGCUCAGGGCCAGCAGGGAGGUGGAGGGGAGCCUGGUUCCACCACCAGCUCUGGGUAUGGUCGUGUCAACCCCACGUCCCCUCGGGACGGGGGCUGAGACGCCGGCUGUCCCGUUGGAGCCAGGUCGCGGCUGUGAAGACGCAGUGCGGCGCCUGGUGAGCCCUUGUGGCUGGGGUGCUGCGUGUGUUCACGUCUAGGACCGCAGAAUGAGCGGCGUUCGCCUGGGCGUCGGCUUCCGCUCCUGCAGCCGCGUGAUGCCCACCCCGAGGCCGCCGGCCUGCACACCCGUGAGACCCUCGGGCUGACGCGGCUACUCCUGCUCCGCUGUGCCGGCAGCCACUGCGGCCACUGGGACGCGUGCCGGUCACUGUCCUCUGCUCUCUGGUCACCACACGCCCCGUCCCCGGUGCUGUGGGUGGCGGACCCGCAUCUGUAGCUCCUCUGAGCUUCUGGUGCCUCCUGCCUGUUUCCUUUGUGGAGCCUCCUGCGUGUCCUGGCGACCGGUGGGAAUCGUGUUUGCGCUGAACAAGCCAGAGGUGGUUUCUCGCUACAGCAGGGGGACCCGUUCCACAUCCUGUGACAGGGACGGAGGAGGGGGUGUCCCUGGCCAAUGGAGGGCUCGUGGACGCUGGGCCCACCGUGGACUCAGGAAUUUCUGUUUGUCUUUAGGGUCUUAUUACCUUCCUGGGGCUGCCCUAACGAAGCCACAGACUCAGGGCUCAAACCGCAGGCAUCCCUCUCAGCCUGCAGGCCGCAAGCCCUAAACUGAGGUGUCGCGGGGCCGUGCUGCCUUUGGGGGGGCACCCUGUGCAUCUUCCGGCCUCUGGUGGUGCCAGACAUCCUCGCCGUCCCUUGGUUGGUGGAUGCGUCACCCCCUCUCUGCCUCCAGGGGCACACGGCGUUGCUCUCUUGUUGGGAUGGGACUCACCGACUCCAGCUGGUCACCGACUCCCUCUUCCUGAUGGUGCCUGCAGUGGCCCUGUUUCCAACCCCAGGACGCCGUGGGGAUUGCACGGCAUCGGUGCGUCCGGAGCUGCUGGGCUCUUCUCAGUGGCUGCGUGAGAAGCCGUCGGGAGACUUUCAGGACGUAAUCACAAAGGCCGGAACGAGCAGAAGGUACCCUCACAGACCAAGCGUGAUCUGAGUUCCUGCCAGGGAGCACCUGGGCCCAGGACAUGGGUGUGGCCCAAACGUUCACGUGUUCCUGCGUUUGCUUUCUCCUUCUCACACCUGAAUCUGCGGAGUGGAAUAUGUCGGGCUGUGUUCCCCACACCAGGCUGUGCUGCCGCCGGGGCGGCCGUUCGUGUUGCUGCAACGAUACAUGGUCUCUGCUCUGCAGUCUGCAUUCACAGGUCUUCGGCUCUCUGUCCCGGGAAGGCCUCCCACUUCUCCUGGGGGCCUUUCCGAGUACCUCACCCUCUUGCUUGCCAUCGUUGCCGGGGUCCCUCUGCCAUUCCAUCCUCCAACUGGUGACCUCGUGCAGCUAUGAGGACUUUUGGUGUUUGUGUGUUAGUUUUAGCCUUACUGAGUUCGUUUAUCCUUUGAGUCUGUUUCCUCCCUGUUGAUGGCCCGGUGCCACGCUCGCUGCCCGGUCGGGAGUCCCAUGUGGCUAAGCUCGCGUGUACAGAUGAGAUGAAACGAGACCAAAGGCUCACGAUGCCGCCACAUUCGCCCCAUUCCCAGUGCUUGGCGGCCGCACGGGCUUGGCGGGUUUCCGGCACUGAGCUUGUGGGACAUCCCCUCAUCGUGAAAAGUUUACUGCGUAUUACUGUUCCAGCGUUUUCCAGGUACAUCAGUGUAGCCUUUGCAAAUGGACACAGCUGGCUUUGGGCUCUGUUCUCGGGGCCCUGACGGGUUCCCCGUGUCUGACUGCAGCGGCUGAGGCCUCCAGGGCCGGGCUGGCGGGCGGUGAAGGCAAGCAUAGUCCUCAUCUUGCCCCUAAUGACACCAGCGUCUGCUUCAGUGAGGUGGAGACUUUAGAAAAGGCUAUGUUACUAUGUUAAGAAAGCGGCUGUCACUUCCUAUUUUCCUUACUGUUUGUACUUUUAUCAGGAAUGGGUGUUAAAUUUUGCCAGAGGCUUUUUGUGCACCUAUGGGGGGAAAGCAUGUGAUUUUUCUCUUCGGGUCUGUCAAGAGUGACUUUCAUAAAUGGAUUUCCCAGCAA